UUAGACACUGGCUUGUUAAACUAGCUACAGCACUACUUAACUGACACAGAACUCUCCGUUAACAAACAAAUCACAUCAUCAUAUUCAUACUACACUCCUGCUAACAAUUGCCCUGGGCAUUGCUUUUUGUACAAAUUUAAAAGCACACAUUGUAGAAUGAUGGGAAGAAAGGGUCACACCAAGAGUCACACACUACAAUCCAGCCCCCCCCCCUGCCCCCGGACACACAUUUGUUAUUCUCAGCUUUGAAUAUCAUGAGAACAGAUAUUACAGAUGGAGGAGCGGAAAUACAUGGUACACCAAGAACUGAGCAAUACAGACAACUACAGCAGUAACUAAAUCCUCCUUUCCCUCAUUCCCUACAGACUUUUUCUUUAUAAUGAUCCACAGACAAAGAAAACUCUCUUUUUUUUAGCAGCAGCAAUGAAAACUUAAUAGCCUACCAUUUUCUUUGCACUCUUCGGGAGGUUUAGCCUUUUUCGCAAGUCGUGGAUCCAGCCAUGAUGUUGUCUUUGUGUUAUGGCUGAAAAGAAAAGAAAUUACCCUGAUCAGACACAUCCUGAACAGAAUCAAGUUUAUGCCUUCCGAUGAAGGCGAAGGAAAGGAAGCAGUAAGAGCAAUCACAAGAAAAUCCCCAAAGAUGGGUGAUUACGCAACCUAUUCUUCUUCCAGACAAUCCUCAAUGAAUGUCAUCAAAUCAAUCAGCCAUGAGUAGAAUCCAAGGGAACGAGUUGUGGUAUGCAAGAAAAAGGCAGAGAAGGGAAGAAGAAGCUGCAGAAAGACUCAAGGAGUGGCUGACAGUAGAUGCCAUCCUAUAGAAGGAGGCCUUCCAUUACUUCUGCAAAAUCUUCUGGCUUCUACUCUACAGAAACUGAUUAUCUACAUGGAAGGAAGGAACUAGUUUGGUCAACAGGGUGGGUUUUUAUGGAGUUCUCAAGCUUUUUAAAACAAGUAUACUUCUGUCACAAACCUUCAGCUCAGGUAACCAUAGAGGUUUUUGUCCAUGUGUAUGUGUGUGACGGCAUGUAUGUGUUUGUGCAGUUAAGGGACAGGCUACUGCUUGCAUCCACUCUAAGUUACUCAUUGAAAUUUAUGGGACAAGUUAAUUGACUCAUUCGUUUCACUAUGACUGCUAAGUAAGUAUGUAUUCAUGCUCCAGGUGAUGGGUGAUUUUCAUCAGUCUCCCCUUACCUCUGAAGCUCAUACCUCACUUAAUGAUGUAUUAACCAAAGAAGGGCGUUCACUUUGGCCCACUGCCAUGGUCUCACCUCAGCAGGACUGGAGGGCUGUUACAGAAAGACCCCAUUUGCUGAGCGUUUAUGCCCCUGUGGCUCGGAACAGAUCAAAACUAUUGAGCAUGUCCUUCUAUUUUGCCUGUUCAACAGAGACAGACGUGCUGCCCUCAUUUUCCCAUUGCUAAGUAAGUUCCUGGGACAUACGAGUCAAUUCUACAGUCAUUUAUUGCUCUCUGAUUCCAACUCUGCCAUUACACAGAAUGUUGCCAAGUUCUGUGCCGCUGCGAUUGGCAUCCGGCGAAGUAUGAUAGGCGGUGAGCCCCCCUAAUCUGACUCUUGAUUACUCUGGAUCGAUAUCGCACUUUCCCACGCCUCCAUACCCAUUGUUUUACUGCAUUAUAUUGUAUUUUAUUGCAUUCCAUUGUCUUCUUAUUGCUCUGUAUACUAUACUAUUUUAUACCCCCCCUUUUAACUUAUUACUACAUUUUAUCUUCUCUAUUUUUAAUAACUUUAGUACCAAUGUGUAUUUUUAGUUAUAGUUUUAGUUUUAGCCUUUUGACGAUGAAUCUAUUGGUUUUUUUAAAAUCUUAAACUGCAAUCAUCCUUAAUUUUAGCUUUGUUACCUGUAAUUUUAAAUCUGUAUUAAUUUUAUGCUGGUCUCCAACCAUAAUAAAGGAUUGAUUGAUUACCUCUGAAGCCCUCCAAAAUAGGUGACUCCCCAAAAUAGGUCCCUGCGGACUGCAUGCCCCUGAGAGACAUAUAUAAAAGUCACAGUCAGCUUCAGGAGGAAAUGGAGAGGGAUGAAAAUCACCCCUCACCUGGAACUUUCACACAGCAUUGCUGCACCAGCAUUUCAUUAGUCUGGAUGUCAGUAAAUAAAAAGCAGUUCAAACUUUUAGCCAUGCACACUAAAAUGGUACACUACUUGCUUAUGAUCUGCUAAACACUGAUUAGCUCUGCUAUAAUAAGUAAUACGCCCACAAGUGCCCUGUAGUACCUCGAAGUCAAUUGCUAGCUGCUUUUCUCUGCCAUAACUUGUGAACUGCUUUGAGACUUUUGUUAUAGGCAAUAUAUAUUAAUUAUAUUAUAUUAUAUUAUAUCAAUUAAAAAAACUUUCUGAUGUGAAUGGAAUAGCAACAUUUUGUCAAACUGGCAAGUGAAGAGGGUUUUGUUUGCAGUGCUAAGCUCUGUU